CACGUAGGGCGCGAGCGUUGUCCGGAAUUAUUGGGCGUAAAGAGCUCGUAGGCGGCCUGUUGCGUCCGCUGUGAAAGCCCGGGGCUUAACCCCGGGUCGGCAGUGGAUACGGGCAGGCUAGAGGUAGGUAGGGGAGAAUGGAAUUCCCGGUGUAGCGGUGAAAUGCGCAGAUAUCGGGAGGAACACCGGUGGCGAAGGCGGUUCUCUGGGCCUUACCUGACGCUGAGGAGCGAAAGCGUGGGGAGCGAACAGGAUUAGAA
rnacentral:rRNA from 1 species